AUGUGUAAAUGUGUGAAUCGAUCAAUAAGUAAUAUAACUUCUCUUGGUCCCUGCUAUAUUCUAGGUCCUAGCCUGAGUCCUUCUUUGCUCAAUGAGGAGUCUAAAGACCUUCCAUGGCUUUGGAGUUAUAGGGUGAAAGGAACCUCCAAAUGGCCCAAAAGCAAGAAAAUAGAAGCGCCCUCCUCAUCACAAAAAAAAAGAACUGAGAGAAAAUGUUUCAAGAUGUUCCACUGGAAAACCUCUCCAGGUUCACUCCACAGUCUAUCAAUUUUUAGCAGCAAUUCUCCAACCAUCAGUUAUGGGUGCUUUAGCCCCUAGUUCUAUUCCUUCAAGGUAAGUAUUAUAUUCUUAAUCCCAAGGAAAACAUCUUACAAGACAUCAUCAGAUGGUGAGUGUAUUUGUUUUAUGCUAUAAAUUAACUUCCCCUGUGUGGAAGACUGUACUAGAUGAUUGUAUUGGCCUCUAGGAGAGAAUAAACAACUUUCUUAUGUAGAGUUAAAUGGUAUUAGAGGAAGAUAAAACACAGAUUUAACUAAUACUUAAAGAACAAUCAUCAUCUCUUAGGUUUACAUUUUUCAAGUUAAUCAGUCCUAAAUCUUGAGACCUCCAGAGAUGUGACGCCUGUAUUAAUUUUUUCCCAUUAACUUCUUCCUAUCUUAGUCCCUUCUCUGCCCAGCAUAGGUUCGAUGGUCGUUACUUCAGACACUCUCUUGACAAUAUUCUCAACUUCCUUUUUGUGGUUUCUGGCUUCUUGCAUUCAGUGAAUCAUCCUAAAACUCCACCCCAACAACGACCAUACUUUAUCUCCCCGCAAAGAUAGAAGCCAUCAGACCAAUUUCUCUCUAAGCUUAGACAUAUCUCCAUCUAUCUGGGUUUAAAGCCCUGCUAUUCCCAAAAGCAGUAUCACUCCUCUGUGGCUGAUCUUCUUCUCUGUCUCAUUUCAUCGUAUCUGUUUAAGACCUCAUUCCCUCACACAUCCCUUCUUUUUCCUAAACUUCCACUUCUCCCUCUUUAAAGGACAGAGUGCACCAACAGAGUUCGGUAUGGGUUGAAUUGUGUCCCUGCCAAAAUCAUAUAUUGAAGUCCUAACUCUCAGUAUCUUAGAAUGUGACCAGAUUUGGAGAUGGGUAUCUUUAAAGAGGUAAUUAAGGUGAAAUGAGGUCAUUAGGGUGGGCACUAAUGAAAUACAUCUGCUCGCUUUAUCAUUAGAGGAAAUUAGGACACAGACACACACAGAGGGAAGACCAUGUGAAGACACAGGGAGAAGAUCACCUGCAAGCCAAGGAGAGAGGUCUCAAAUGAAACAACCUUGCCAAUAAUCUAACCUUGGACUUCUAGCCUCCAGAACUGUGAUAAAACAGAUUUCUAUUUUUUAAGCUGAGUCUGUGGUUCUUUGUAUGGAAGCCCGUACAAACUAAUACGGAGUUCAUCAGCCCUUAUAGAAAGUUAAGUCUUUUCCAUCUUCAGAAAUUAUUCCAUCUUUUGAACCUACAUGCCUCUUUUUUCAAUCACACAAUUUAUUUCUUAAAGAGUCACGAUUCUUGACUUGUGCGUAAUUCUAUACGUUUUCUCCACUUUUAAUCAAUCACUCGGCUCAUAGUCAACUUGGAUUUUACCCUCAUCGGUCUAUUAAAAAACUUUUCUUUCUUAUUUCCAAAGUUUGAUCCUGUUGACCACUUCCUCAUCCUGAAAUACUUCCUUGUUUUGUUUUUAUUUUUUAAAUAGUACCAUGCUCUCUUAGUGUUCUUCCUACCUCUUGGGUUAUACAAUCUCCAACUCUACUAGUCUGUUUCUUCCAUAUUAUUUUACUUUGUGUUCAAUCACUGACUCUUCCAUUCUCACUUUGCUCUCCAUGCACAUGAUUUGAAAGUUAUAUUUUGAGUUCAAGUUGCUGGGCUUCAGACUUUUAUAUAAAAAACUAAUAUUCUAAAUAAAUAAAUUUAAAUCAGUGUUCAUCCUCCCCUCCUGCUCUUCUUCCUGUGUUCCUACUCUGAUAUGACACCACUUUCCGAGAACACUUAUUCCUCAUUUUCUCAAAUGUCUCCCCAUCAAUUAAUCAUUUAGGUCUUUUUUAUUUAUCCUCUUUGAUAAUUCUAUUUUUUAUACUUCUCUUAAUUUCUAUUCCCAUUCUUUUGGGUUAGGCCACCUUCAUCUCUUACGUAACUUCACAACAUGUUUUUCUGACACCAUUCUUUAUAGAGAGGCACUGUAUCCAUAGUAACCAGUUUGAAGCAUAAGUCUGGCUUUAAAACCAUCUUGCCAAAAAUCCUUCAGUAGUUCUCCAAGGCACUCAAGAUAAGGUCCAAAUUAUUGAGUAUGGAAUGUAAAACCCUUCCUGGAUUUGCCUAUGCCACUAAGCUGGCACUUCUCUUUUCCCAACCUUCAUGGUCUAUGCUCAAGGUGACUUUGUUUAAUUCAAUUUCAAGAUGUAGUUAUGUUCUCUGGUCUAUGGUCUAUUUAACACGGAAUCAUUUUGUUUAGAAUCUCCUUCUCCCUAUCCCUUUACUUAGCUGAUUGCUACUCAUCUUUCAAGUCAUAAAUUAUAUAUCAUUCAUUCUUUGCCACCUUCCAUAGCCAUUGAAGACUGAGUUCAUUUCCCUUUCUAUGCAAUUCCAUGGAUUUUUGUGCCAACAUAUUUAAGUAUUUAGACAAGUAGUUAUUUUCAUUAGGAUGUGAUCAUUUAUUAGUUGUCUCUCAGUUUCCACCAGUCUCUAGAAUGAUUAAGGUAUUUAAUAUUUGUUAGAUUAAAUAAUAAAUAAAUGGUUAGGUUUUGCAUCAGAGGAUUUUUUAACAAAACUAUUUGACUUUUUUUCUGACUUUCAUCUAUUUUUCAACAUUUCACUUAAUAUGUUCCACCUAGCAUAGUGCUUGGCACAUUAUAAAUUUUCAAGGACAAUAUGAGCUUGAUAAAACAAGCCUUUACAAAUAUAGCUAGUUAGAUAUUAGUUCCCUUAUUUCCUGUUAUUUUAUUAUAAUAAUGAUGUAUGUUGCUAGGAAAUAAUUGUGAAAAUAUUUCAUGGGAACAUAAUAAAAGACUUGAGAAUGGACAGCAGUAUUCCUUAAACUCUAUAUUCUGUGACACUCCUUUUCAGUUAUUUUUAUCUUCAACCCAGAACACUAUGUAGAUAAGCAUAAAUAUUUUAGUCCUAUGUCAGUUGUUUUCUGGUAUCCCUUCAUACCAUAUUAUAUUUCACAUUCUUGAAACCAUCAGUAACAGUUACUUUGAGAGCACAAUUACAGCUUUGCUGAAUUUUCUCUUUUCACCUUUUUAUUUUAAAAUGAUUUCAGAUGAACAGAAAAGUUAGAAAAAUAGCGCAAAGAUUUAUAAUAUUCCUUUCACUCAGAUUCCCUAAAUGUUUACAUUUUAAUAUGUUUGCACUAGAAUUCUUUAACUCAUAAUAUUUACAUUCAUACUAUGUAUGUAUAUAAUAGUAACUUUUAUACAUAUUAUUCAUAUUAUUUUUUGAACCAUUUGAAAGUGAAUUUCAGAUAUAAUCCCCUUUUAGCCCUAAAUUCUUCAGUGUGUGCUAUACAAUCCACACCAAAUUAUCAAAAUUGGGGUAUUAACAAUGAAUAAGUAUCAUAAUCAAAGCUAUAGACCUUACACAAAUUUUGUCAAUAAAUUCACUAUCACCCUUCUCACAUACAAAUAUAUAUCUAUAUCUCUAUAUAUCAUACCUUGCCUUUAGUUGUUAACAUCUUUUUAGUCUCCGUUCAUCUGAAACUGUGUUUUUUUCAAAUUCAGUCUUGAUAUUUAUUAGCUCAUGAAUGAUUGCAUGUUAGUAUUUUAAAUCUUGGUCAUUUCGGUGAGUUUAUUUCUUCUUCUAGACUGUAUAUCCCUAGUACUACAUCUUUUCAUAAGUGCAGUAAUAUUAUAGAUUUAUGGGCUUUUAUUCUGAAGUAUUUAAUUUGUACUCUCGAGCAGAUGCUACUGUCAGCAGCUACAGGGGGUAUUUUUAAUUUUAAUGCUUUUUCUCAGGAGGUACUAUGCUAUGGUUUAUUGCAAAGUUUGGACUCCAAGAAGUAAGUGAAUUUUUCAGUAGCUGAGAGGAGUUUAAAAUGCCAGAGUGUGGAAUUCCCCUCCUAUAGAAGUACAUAUAACACAGACAGAGCACUUCCGGUUAAAAGAAAAAGCACUGCGCUUCCUUUAUAAAGCCGGGCAAGGAGUUUUGUUCCCACAGAAAUCGGAUCGUUUAAAAAUGGUCAUUGAGCCUGGAUUUAGGGCACAUUCAGUUUUAUUUUGUUUCUUACGUAUUUGCUCAAUAAACCUGUUCUAGGGUCCCUCCUGCAGCAGGGCAGGAAACUCGGUGAAUUCACGUUAAAAAGAACGCAUGUUGGUUAACGGCUAUCCUUAGCUGUUCAUGAAAGAAAAUUGGGAUGUUCCCAAUUGAGAAUUAUCUGAAGUUUUCUUCAAAAGUUAUCAGAUCUAUGAAGUCCUGAGUUUAAGAAAAAUAUAGAUACAUUAAAAAGAUAUGUGAUAGGUAGGUAGGUAGAUACAUACAUACAUACGUAGCUCUGUACUGGAAGGAUCCUAUAACUCUGAGGAUUCCAUUGGUCAAAAUGUAAGAAAUCUCAGAAGUUAUCCUUUGAAAUGGGAUAUACUUUAUGAGGCUUAUCUUUGCAUGUUCCCUAUUUUUUACAUAAGGCCUCACAGCCUUUUCUCUAAAAAUCAAUAAUAAAAGAAAAGUAUUCCAUA
ensembl:lncRNA